UAAAUUCAUUUCAUCCACAACCGCUCCUCCUUUCUCCAGGCGAUUCAAGAUCUCUCCUCCUUCUUUCUCCAGGCGAUUUAGGGUUUCACGAGAUCUGUGGUAUGAGCAAGAUCUGUGGUAUGAGCAAGAUCUCUCCUCCUUCUUUCUCCAGGUGAUUUUCAAGAUCUACGCUUCUUUCUCCAGGCGAUUCUUGAUCCGACACCAGAUCGACUGAUUACUUGGUGGUUGUGGCUGGAAGAUGGUGGCGAUGACACAGAUCUACCGUUUGGUGGCCAGAUCUACCGUUUGAAGAUGGUGGCGAUGACACAGAUCUACAGUUUGAAGUUGAUCUAAAUUUUAAGUGAUUCAAACUCCCUAUUUUGAUGUUUGUCAUAUCGUAUACCCUGUCAUGUUUGGGCGAUUUUAAGAAACAAAAGUUAUAUGAUAGCCGGUAGUCGUAUUUGUUUUCUUCUGAUUACUUUUUGUCUGUUUAACAUAAACUGAUGCAGUGAAGUUGAUAGCGAAACAUGGUAAAAGUGAAAAAAACAUUCAAUCUGAGACAACAAAUUGAGCUACUAAUGAUGUUUUAUAUAUUUUAUCAAUAACUCUGUGUUGAGAGUUAUUUUAUCAAUAACUCUGUUUUCGCAAUCUUUUAAAAAUCAUUGUUAGUCAUAGGAGGGUGAUGGUGUUUACUAGAUGCGUAUUACUGUUGUUUAUACUUCAUAGGCUGUUAGAUUAUAUAUUACAAAAGGCACUUGUGCUGUAAUAUAGAGUCCUAAAAACUCUUUUAUGAACUUAUUUUAGGAAGUGCUGUAAUAUAGAGUCCUAAAAACUCUUUUUAUGUGGAAAAGUUAUAAUAUUGUGUUAAUUUGGUAUUACAGGAUGGAUGAGGGGAGGCAACCACUGUCACAGAAGAUACCGAUUCCCUCAAGCAAGAUAAGUCCAUAUAGGUUUCCCUUAACCUUGUGUUUUCAUGAUUAUACAUGCUUCAAGGAAUAAUUUCAAUAUUAAUUAUACGCGUACAUAAAAUUAUUGAAAUUUGUAUAUGUUCAACAUGUUUUCUAGGAAAUAAUGGGGUUCAAGACGUCGAAGGAAACAAAUUACAGCGUCUUGUUUAUGUUUCUAGAGAGAAAAGGCCCGGAUUUGACCACCACAAGAAAGCCGGUGCCAUGAAUGCUUUGAUCCGAGUGUCGCCGGUUAUUACAAAUGCACCAUACAUGCUCAAUGUAGAUUGCGAUCACUAUAUAAACAAUAGUAAAGCUCUCAGGGAGGCUAUGUGGUUCAUGAUGGACCCUAUAUGUGGAAAGAAAAUUUCUUGAUUGGGGUGAAGUUAUUUUGGUGUUAUCCCCAUUUGUUCCAUUACCCCAAGCUCGAACCCUGUCUAACAGUUAAAUGGCCUACUAACAGUUUUUUAUUGUUUGUGUUGUCAACCGGGUACAAAACUUUUGAGGGUUGGGACAGGCUGAAGGCAGACUUUCAUGAACACAUACUUACCGCGACUCUUUUUAAUAAACAAAUGAUGCUGCUGGAUCUUGGUGUGUUUCCAGUUCAAAAAAUUGUGACAGUACCAUGUUGAGCAAACUGUUUGAUGACACAUGUGCAUGUGCCCAAAUUAAUCACACAUGACACAACAGCUGUAAUGGAGCAUAAAAAGUUUGAAUUCUGAUGGCAACAUUUGCAAAUCAAUGUACUAGGCAGUGACCAGAAGAGGCUGAAGCCAGUCAAACAAUAAUAGCAAUUAGCGGCUACACUGGUGUCUAGGCGGUGGCUGAUCUGGUUGUGAUUUGGGCGUCUUGCAAGCUGCAUUUAAUGACCAAAUGACGAUGAAGAUUAUCAGUAUUGUGCCGCCAAAAUAGUGCAGCAAACACGGCAGCAAUGACGUGCAUUCAGGUGCAGAUUCAGCAAACACUUCUGUGUGAUUCAUAUGUUCUUCAGCUACAGUCCACGUUAUAUGAUGCAGCCAGCAUCAUCAAGUUCUUUUGGUGGAAAGAUACAUGAACGGAACUGCAAAGAGGUUUGGACAAUGGUAGAAGCUAAUAACAGGUGAGCGGGAGGAUAUUUGAGCGCCGUGAUUCAAAAUUUAAAUAGUUUUAGGAGGGGGGAGAAAACGAGAUAGAGAGAGAAAGAGAGCUAGACCUGCCAAUGCAGAUGCAGACUUGCAGCUUUUACAAGUGUCAACUACUAAACCUGUCAAGUGUCAUAUACUAGCCCUUUUACUGUUUCCUUUACCUUUUACUGUUUGUCCUUUUCACUGCAAAGUUGUUUUAACAGCUGUAAUACAUGGUCAAGCAUUGGAACUCUACAACUUUUCCCAUGCUUUUUGAUAUUGGAACCUGACAUCUCCUACAACACUCUCAACUAUCUUGGUAUUAUAUAUUCGUGUGAAGUUUCAAACACUCAACAGUAGAUAAGAUUGUUCAGUUCUUCUGAUGCAUUAAUAGUUGGAUAAUCAGGUGUGGGAACAUGGUGGUUUUGUAGACACAAGUAACCUUCCAAUUAGCAGUACAAGCCAGCCAGUGGACUCCAUGGUGUUCAGGUGAUGAGUCAAAAAAUGGCUAUUUCAAAAAGUUGGAGAAUGCUAAAGAGAGGUUGCAUCUUUUCAAGGCAUACAAGAUACAGGUUAUUGGCGGGCUGCCUCCAAUUAAAAGUUAUAAAAAAACAUUAUCAUGAGAGAUCCUCAGAAACAAAUCAACAAAUCGUUGUAAUUAUUGUUACAAAUUUAUAACGUUUAUUUUUUAUCGAGUAAUGUUUAUCGUUGUAAUUUUUCGUUAACAAAUUUAUGAUGUUCAGCAUAUUGCCCUUCGUAUUUG